UUUGUGAGAGAUUUAUUGGGAGAAAGAGAGAAGGGAUGGUGGCAGCAGAAAGAGAAGGGGGAAAGAGAGAGAGAGGGAGGGGUUAUUCCCCUUAUUUAUAUGGAAAAUGAUGUAAGGCAGAUAAAGGUGGUGGUGAGCCAAGUGGAUUCUAGGAAUAUGGUGCCUGUUGUCUUGGCAACAGGUCUGCAUGUCAUGCUGUUGCCUAUGUGAUGUCAUAGGUUUGGGAGAUUCUGAUGCCUACAGGAUGCACUUAUCAUUUUCCCCAGUACAAAGACCAUCAUGCAAUACCAGAAUGGUACCCAGCAAGAUGCUGAUGGAGCACUUACACCUGUGAGUCAAGGGUCAGACUCAAAAGCAGACACAGAAAGAAAGAAACACAGAUCUUCUAAAGAAGAAAGCACCAUCAGUAAGGACAGUAUUCCAGUUUUAGAUGAAGUGCAAGACAAAACCUUUGAACAUCAAGAGUCAGGAUUAAGAUUAGAAGUUCAGGCAAAGAAACUAACGUUCAGCCCUCAAAAUAUUCACAAUAAAGAAUCAGCUACAGAUAUUAAAGUGGAGUAUCAAAAUGUACCAUCAAGCUCCCAAGUCCAGUUAAAGAAGCAAAAGCCUUUGGGAGGAGAAAUAUUUACUACAAUUCCUGUAGAACACCCUAAAAAGGAAGCAUCACCGGACAAUCUAUUUCCUGAGAAGAAACUUUAUAUAACUAGAGCCCCGACUCAGACCAAGAAACAGUACCCUCCUUGGGACACUAAUGCAGAGAGUCAGAACAUCGAGCUAAGGUGUGAUGAAAAUUAUAUGUCAGUAGACCCAACAUCAAAAGAUCAUCCUCAAUUUAAGAAACUGAAAACUACCCACAUAGAAAACACUGCUCAGAAAAAAACAGUCAAAGAAGUUCAGGGGAUAUCAGAACCUCAGACAAAACUGAACCCAACGAUGAGUGGCAUCAUAUUACACUUGGACAUGGACAGAGUGGUUGAGACUGACCUAGAAAACUUGGAAGAGACCAUUGUACCACAUGUAUUAAGAAGUGAACUUGAGAUUGGCACAGAUGCAAAAAAUAUGCCUGAAACACCCACAUCAAGGGAAGCAGUGAGAACAGAGGCAAAGGGUAAUCAAGAUGUGACUAUUUCCAUCGCUAAAGGCAUGAAACUAAUUGGAAAACUGAAAGAUCAACAUGGUUUGAGUUCAUUUGCAAGUAAAGAUACCAUUAGUCCAGGGAAGAGCCUGAUAAAGUCAUCCAGAGACAAUCAAGAUGACAGUUUAUUGGAAACCAAACCUCAAGAAAAUACAAGUGACAAGUACCACCCAUCAAAGACAUUUCCAACAAAAGUGAUCAACAUGUUACCCUUCUCUGGUAAAGGUACGAGAGGGUACACAAAGACAAACAACAAGGUCUAGUAGCCUAAAACAGCCCAGAAGUGUGCCUUUUCACUCAUCUUCUUUGCACUGCCCUUUUUUUUAAUGCUUUUUUUAAAAAAAUUUUUAAUUAGGUAUUUUCUUCAUUUACAUUUCCAAUGCUAUCCC
rnacentral:lncRNA from 1 species